rnacentral:rRNA from 1 species
GAUGAACGCUGGCGGCGUGCCUAAUACAUGCAAGUCGAGCGAACAGACGAGGAGCUAGCUCCUCUGACGUUAGCGGCGGACGGGUGAGUAACACGUGGAUAACCUACCUAUAAGACUGGGAUAACUUCGGGAAACCGGAGCUAAUACCGGAUAAUAUAUUGAACCGCAUGGUUCAAUAGUGAAAGACGGUUUUGCUGUCACUUAUAGAUGGAUCCGCGCCGCAUUAGCUAGUUGGUAAGGUAACGGCUUACCAAGGCAACGAUGCGUAGCCGACCUGAGAGGGUGAUCGGCCACACUGGAACUGAGACACGGUCCAGACUCCUACGGGAGGCAGCAGUAGGGAAUCUUCCGCAAUGGGCGAAAGCUUGACGGAGCAACGCCGCGUGAGUGAUGAAGGUCUUCGGAUCGUAAAACUCUGUUAUUAGGGAAGAACAAAUGUGUAAGUAACUAUGCACGUCUUGACGGUACCUAAUCAGAAAGCCACGGCUAACUACGUG